ACUCGGUGAGAAUAUAAUUCAAAAGUAAGACACGUAACACACAAGACGUCCGACAAGAACACACAACCGGAUAUCCGGAUAGUAUACUAUAUUGUUAUGCAACCGUAUAAUAUUAUGUUUCGACGUUUGGUACCUACAUAAUAUCUUGACGACGACGGGUCCGAAGAGCACGCUAACGCAAAAAGUCACCUGCCCCUUCCGGUACCGGACCUACAGUCUGCGCGACCACGUGACCCGGCACGUGUGGCAAGUUCUCCCGAAGUAGUACCCACUCCUUUCCCCUCUCCUUUUGAAUGGCGUCCAUUGCCAAGGUGGAGGAACACACUGUAAUUGGCCGACUCCGCGGCAUGAAAUUUCAUACAAAGCAUCAACCGUGAAAAAAAAACCGCAGAAAACGUUAUUUGUUGCGCGCUAACACCGACCGCGUCUCUCUGUCACUCUUCCUCUCACUGAACGACCCGUCUCCGGCCAUCUGUACACCCGGCAAACACGGUUGUGUUCUAGUGUUGUGUUGUUCCGAAGACCAUAGUGCCGGUAGUCGCAUGUUAUCGCCGACACUGGUCGUACCGCCGCCGACCCACACGCCGCGCCGUGACAACCGCGAGUCGUGUACGUAUGUCGUAUAUAUACAUAUAGUGUCAAUAUCAUAAUACUUUGAUAUAAUAGUUAACCCGUGACAAUAAUAACAAGCGCGAUUCGGUGUAUACACGUCGUGUGUUGUACGCACGUACAGACAUAAACAUCGCGACACAGGCGAAAAGGUAUUCAAGUCCGAAACGUUCGUGGUUCGUCGAAGAAGAAAUGGGGCGUAAGGUGCAGGGUGCAAAUGAUACGUACGACAUAGACGGACUGAUCUCACCUAUUUAUGCGAUGACAACGGUCGGCGCGGACAAGAACAGCAACGGCUGGAUGGGCUACAAGGCAGUGCCCAUCGAUGAACCCAAA